rnacentral:tRNA from 1 species
CAGAUAUACAUGCUAUGUAUAAUUGUGCAUUCAAUUAUUUUCACCACGAGCAGUUGAAGCUCGUAUU